GUCCCAGCAGCCGCGGAAAUACGUAGGUGGCAAGCGUUAUCCGGAAUUAUUGGGCGUAAAGCGCGCGUAGGCGGAAUUUUAAGUCUGAUGUGAAAGCCCACGGCUCAACCGUGGAGGGUCAUUGGAAACUGGAAAACUUGAGUGCAGAAGAGGAAAGUGGAAUUCCAUGUGUAGCGGUGAAAUGCGCAGAGAUAUGGAGGAACACCAGUGGCGAAGGCGACUUUCUGGUCUGUAACUGACGCUGAUGUGCGAAAGCGUGGGGAUCAAACAGGAUUAGAUACCCUCGUAGUCC
rnacentral:rRNA from 1 species